UAAAAUUACAGGGACUCUGUCUGGGUAUUUCUUGCGGAUUUUCUCGCCCUCUGAUCGCCGUUUCUCGAACGCAUGUUCUUCCUUAUAGACAAACUUCAUGGCUGGCUGUCUGUCUGUCUCAGACCGGCUCUGCUCCUGUCACUGCCGAGACCUGGGGCCGGUAGGUGACCGGGGAGGAGGAGGAGGAGGAGCUGUCGGUAGGUGACCGGGGAGGAGGAGGAGGAGGAGCUGCUGUCGGUAGGUGACCGGGGAGGAGGAGGAGGAGCUGCUGUCGGUGUUUCCCUGUCGGUUCCUGUGACGGAGGCAGAUAAACAGCCUGAGCCCCGCCCACUACUUCCGCACUGUGACUCCGCCCUCCG
rnacentral:lncRNA from 1 species